rnacentral:misc_RNA from 1 species
GAAGGAAGAAAAAAGAAUGGGAAGAUCCACUUCUUGUUUCAAAAUCAUCACAUGCGGUAGCGAUUCAGCUGACAAAGAUGAUCUCCAAGCUCCUGAGAACAAGAAUUCAACUGAGGGCUGCGGAUGGAGUUUCCGGAAGAGAUCUGUCCGUCAUCGAGUUCUAAGCAACACUAUCAUCACUGAAGCCUCUUAUUCUGCAAAUAAGGAGAGCACAGAAUCUGCCAGUCUUAACUUCCAAUCGCCUGAUACUUCCACUGUUCCAGAUAAAAUCUCUGUGAUACAAUGCACUGAUGAGAAGCCACNNNNNNNCAGACUCAAAAGUAUCUGAGACUUUUGUUGUUGCCAUGGAUGAAAGUGAAGUUGAUGCCCU